AAAUUGAAGAGUUUGAUCAUGGCUCAGAUUGAACGCUGGCGGCAGGCCUAACACAUGCAAGUCGAACGGUAACAGGAAACAGCUUGCUGUUUCGCUGACGAGUGGCGGACGGGUGAGUAAUGUCUGGGAAACUGCCUGAUGGAGGGGGAUAACUACUGGAAACGGUAGCUAAUACCGCAUAAU
rnacentral:rRNA from 2 species